CAUGGUGGUGCGUGCCUGUAAUCCCAGCUACUAGGAGGCUGAGGCAUGAGAAUCACUUGAACCCAGGAGGCGGAGGUUGCAGUGAGCUGAGAUCACGCCAUUGCACUCCAGCCUGGGCGACAGAGCAAGACUGUCAAAAUAUAUAUAUAUAUAUAUUCACACACACACACAUAGGCAAUACAACAGUUAAAUGAAUACACUAGAGCUAUACCCAACUUGGAUGAAUUUCAGUCUUGUGAGAAGAAGUAAUAUAUAUAUAUAGGGGAAAAAAGGCAAAACUAUAUUAAAAAUACAUGGGUAGGUGGUAAAAGGGGUUAUAAAUAUGGAAAGGAAGAAAAUUAGAAUGAACUUUGUAGUGUUGGGUUGGAAUUGGAGAUAUUGGUGUGACCUCAUGGUUUUUAAGAUAGAGAAAUAACUAUUAAAUGCAAAUUAUGUAUACACUUCUAUCCAGUGAGAGGGCUGAGGAUCAGUGACAACUCAGUAGCCAUGAGAAUACCUAACACCCAGAUCGUGGUUUCUAAAUAUGCUCUUGACUAAAAGGAACCAGGGCUUCUUGGAGAUAUAGCUGAUUUCAGAGCUGUGGCAGAGAAAGUACAAGCUGGUCCCGAAACAUCUCACUCUGGAAAACAAGGAACUGUUCCAAGAAUGAUGGGGACAUGUCAAAAGCACACAGAAACCAGCUUGAAGGGACUCUCACUGGCUAAAUAUAGGAAAAAUUGAGCAUCAAAAUUAAUAAUGGGGGCAGGUGCUGUGGUUCAUGCCUGUAGUCCCAGCACUUUGGGAGGCCAGGGUGGGAGGAUUGCUUGAGCACAGGAGAACCGCCUGGGCAACAUGGUGACACCCUGUCUCUACACAAAAUACGAAAGUUAGCCAGGCAUGGUGGUAUGUGCCUGUGGUCCCAGAUACUCAGGAGGCUGAGGCAGGAGAAUCAGUUGAGCCUGGUCGAGGCUGUAGUGAGCUGUGAUCACACCACUGUACUCCAGGCUGGGCGACACAGCGAGACCCUGUCUCAAAAAAAUGAAUGAAUGAAUAAAUGAAUAAAAUUGAUUAUAAUCCAUUGGAUAAAACAGGAAUCUAUUUUUAAAAAUAAAUGGAUUGAUGAGGACAGGAUAUUUGCACAGUGUCAGAAUAACUCCAUCCCCCAAAAUAUUAAUGACAAAAAGAAAAGGAACUUUAUAGUGGAAAGCCCGGUAGACACCACCUUAACCAAGUGAUUGAAGUUAACAUCACCAGUGAGGGGACAAAUCAAAAUCAUUCUCCACCUGGUAGGAUGCAGGGAAAACAACACAGCACCAUUCCAGUGAUAGUCCUGCCAGAAAUACAUAGCUUGGAUUUAAUCAGCAGGAAUUGAUCUUCAAACAAAUCAAAUUGAGGGACAUUCUACAGAAUAACUUGCCUAUUAACAUCAAAGGCUUCAAGGUUGUGAAAGUCAAGGAAAGACUGGAAAACGGUUCUAGACUGAAGAAAACAAAAGAGACGUGAAAUUAAAUGAAAAUGAUUCUGGACUAGAUCCUUUUUCCUAAAGAUCAUUGAACAGGGUCUAAAGAUGAGUUGACAGUCAUGCAGCAGUGUUACUUUCCUAACUAUGAUGGUUUAAUUGUGGUUAUGUAGGAGAAUGUCUUCAUUUGUCAGAGAUACAUGUCUCAUUUUCAUUUUUGUAGUUAGAAUCUAUAAGAUAUAUUCUACUUUUUAUUCAAGUCCAUUUAUUCAGAUCUCAGCAUUAACUAUCCUCUCCACCAUUUUACAUAUUGAAUUUUUUAGUUUAUAA
rnacentral:lncRNA from 1 species